UUGCUUAGAAUGAUUUCACAUUACCCCUUAUAAAACAAAACAACCACUAAAGACGGUGCUUGAUGAAUCUGUGAGCAAUAUAACUAUAUAGCAGAAUGAUGCUUUGUGGCAGUGAAAGUUUGGAAAUUCCCUUAUGAAGGAGAAAAUGAUGCAUCUGGUUUGGAACCAACUUAUCUACACUUGAAAGAGCCUGCUGUUGGGGGAAAUGAUCUCACCAGUGAUAAAAGGAGGAAGUGGGUGGGGGAGGCCCACAGUAGAUCAAUCAUCCCCACCCUUGGACUUGGACAGGCUCCCUGACACUGUCUAGCCCUGACCACUUAUUUGCCUAGAUUCUUGUUAGCUGUCAACACAUUGAUGCUAAGGAAAUUCAGUUAGUUCAAGACAGGUUGUUUUUCCUCUUUUAAUUUUUUUUUUAAAAUGUGUUCUUUUCAGAUACACGCGGCAGGGAGACGACGAUUCUCAGUCAAGAUCUCUUGAGUCUAUUUUCCUUGGAUGUUUUUGCUGGUUCUCAUUAAAAAAAAACAAAAAACAAAAAAAAAAAACAAAAAAAAAAACAAGGAUGUUACCUAUUUAUUUAUUUAUGCAUGGGGUUAAAUAUUCUGGUUUUGGUCUACACAGUGAAAAAUAGCAUUAUUGCUGAAUGUCAAAACAAUCAGACCUGAUUACCAUUCAAGUCUUACUGUGCAAAGGCAGCACAUGACUGUUGCCUGGGACUCCUGAAGAUCUCAAUGUCUGGCUCCUUCCUUUUUCUUCAGAGCCCUGCACCUUAAACAGUAGAUGGCAGUGUGAGAUGGGGAAUUUAAACCUUGGCAGCUGUUUGCUUGAAACUAGCCCAGGAAAAAUGGCUUUUUGACUUGGAAGCAUUUAUGAAAUGAACUUUCAGGCAGAGUUUUGUCUGGCCGCCAGGAUCUCGCCCUGGAAGGUGCUGGCAACCCACAGGUGAGCCUGCGCGAGGGCUUUGUUUGAACUGGAGCUGUUGCCCUGCUCGGAAGCAAGAUGGGGUGCAUUUGGGCACAAUGCAUUGUCACUGAGCCAAGGAAACCGCUGUUUCACCGUCCAGGCAAGCCUGCACCCCAACCCGCCCCUUCCUGGGGGAGGUACACCUCCUCCUUUUCCUUUCUGGGAAAUUCAUGGUGUUUAAAUCUAUGAAAUAGAGACUUUGAUGUAUCUAAUGUAUUAAUGCUGCUUCAGGUUUUCAGUUAAUCAUCACUUUCCUUUCUAUCCUAAACCUGUUAAAAAUCAGAGGCUUUUUAAACGGAAAAGAAAAUUAAAUUAUUUAUGGGAGAAUUUCUCAGUAAGUUUGAAAGGACACCACUCCUCGUGGCUUAUCAGAUAUGGAUUUUGUUUAGAAUCUUGAAUAAAUUAUGGAAAAGAGGACAGCACUGAAGCUGGUUUGAGUUUCUCUUCUGUUAUGGGCUCUUAGCAAUCGCAGUAUUUUGUAUCUGUGGUUUACCCAAACAUGUUUCCCUCUAGAACACUUUAUAACAAAGUACGUUUAAAGAAGGGAAAAACAUUUGACUCACUCAAUAUUUUAUUUAAUAGAGAAGGAAUUAAUAAUUCUAAGAGGAUGCUUGUAUUGCAGGCAGUAAUUAUAGAAUUUAAAUCGGGUGCAUAAUCUGUGUAUCCUAAGGUUGGUGAUUCUUCUUCUUCUUAGACCUAUGUAAAAACUCCAUUUCCUUACUUUUGGAUAUAAUUUCUAGACCUGUUAAAUCUCAACUCUUGUGUAAUGCAACCCACAUUAUUCCACAGUGUUAAGCUCCACUUUCUUCAGCCGUAAAAGUGGAAAAUAGUUUUUAUUUGCUUCACAGAGCCCGAUAUACAGUAAGUGUUGGCCAUUUAUAAUUUAUCCAGAUAUGCAAACUCAUUAGCUAUGAUUGUUAUUAUACAGAAAUUAGUGUAGGCAUAUUGUCAAACAAAAUUGCUUUUCCUACUUUACAAAAUAAUUCAAAAAGAUAGAGAAUAUUAACACUACUCUAAACCAAGCAAAAUUAGGCAGGUAAAUUUUCUGUUCAAAAUAUAAUUAUAGAAAAGUGCAGAAAAAUUUGGAACCACUAGUAAGAACACUCAUUAUCGUAAAUAUGGUUAAAGUGAGAAAAAUAGAGUCUUACACAAGUCUCCAUACACAUGGUAUGUGUGUGUGUGUGUGUGUGUGUACACACACAUGUAUUUUAAUACAUUACUUCAACAAGUACUUUGGUUAAUGAGGGGCAUUUUCAGGAUGUAGGGCAAAUAGAAGCAGGAAAAUAAAGUAUGAGCAGAAGUCACACCCAUCUCUUCCUUUAAAUAGGCAGGCCUUCCUUUUGUUACAUGAGGCUGGGGCAGAGUGUGAAAGGGUAGAAGGGAGUUUGGACUUAAAAAUAGUAAUCACCUUCAUGAAUCCAAAACCUUCCCUUGAGAAAACCGUUUAGUGAGCAGCUCGUUGUGGAUUUGGUGAAUGUGAACUGAGAGCAGUUGCCCCACAGGGUCGUGGUGAAUUAUCAAGAUAUUUUUUUCUGUCAUAGGUGAACUUGUCAUUAAAUGUGGUACCCACAUUUAAUCCCAGUGACUCAGGAGACUGAGGCAGGAAGAUCGCUAGUUCGAAGACAGUUUUGGCAAAUCAGCAAGACCCUGCCUCUAACAACAACAACAAUAACAUUUAAAGAGAUGGGGCAGUGGUCAGUGGAGAGUCCCUGGGUUCAAUCUCAGUAACACACACACACACACACACACACACACACACGAACCAAAAAAUAACAAAACCAGAAGUUAUUUUCCAACACUAUCUCUUUUACUUUUUCACAUUUUCUUCAAGUUGUUCAUUGAUUUUGCUUUUGUUAAACAUUAACUUUGCUAAGGUCCAGUUUCUUCUCCUGAUUCUUCCAAGAUUUGAGAUCUUGGGCAAUUUGCUGAACAUCUGUGUUCUUGCCUGCAAAACAAAAAAGAAAAAUAAAAGAAUGAUAACAUCUCAGGUGACUGUGAGAAGAAAGUAGUUAAUACAUAUAACACCCUUUAGCUCAGUGUUGGGCACAGAGUACGUUUUCAUUCAAUAGGCAGCCAGAGUUAAAAAAAAAAAGGAUGCUUUGACAUUUAGAGAAUUAGAAAACUAUUGCAUAUUCUGACUAAAAACAGCUCAGAAUUCAUUAUCUUCCUCCCCUCUUUUUAUACUUGAGGAACAUCAAGCUAGAAGAUUUAAGUAAACCUUGGUAAUAUGGAAUGAAUUAGUCAGAGGCCUUUAAUGAUAAAGAUUGACUCACACAAUUAUGGACACUGAGAAAUCUCAAGAUCUGCAGUCACAAGCUGGAAUCCAAGAUCGCUGCUGGGUAGCUCUGAAAGUAGAAGAGAAUUCAAUUGUCUUGGAGCUAGAGGGUUUAAGACCAUCUGAUGGAGUGAAGGUCUCCAUCUUCUUUGGUACAUUGGACAAGCGGCGCUGGAACGUCAUUCAUGGUUUUCUUGACAUGGAAACUAAAUUGUUAGGUCUAAUGAUAUACCUCCCAUCUCAUGGAAACCUAAAGCUACAGGCUGCAGUGAAGAGUUACAAUACAAGAUAACAAAAUAAAGGAUAAAGCAGACCGAUUGAUUAUUCCAGUUCAUUAUGAUAGAAAUUUCAGGACAAGGUUCCAACACAACAAGAAAGGAACACAGCGUUCUUCAUUCUGGCUGGCAAAAUGGAUUAAGCCCAACAAAGCUGAGGAGAUGGAGUGACAAAAGUUCUUACCAAGAAUUUUGAGUUGUAAUUACAGAUUCCAUUUAAAAUAAUCAGUCCACUUUAAAGGAAGCCAUUUGACUGACAUUAUGUACUUGACACCUGGAGAAGAGAAGUUCAAUGACUUUUUAGGUAAGUACAUCAUUGUCUAUGAUGAGGAAUGUAAAUGAAGGUGAAAGCUGUUUGAGAAAAUUGAUAUGGUUCUGAAAAUUUAUGUAAAUAUAAUCUUUAAAAAAUAUUAAAAUUCUAAUAUACCUGUGAAGCUAUUUACUUACUAAAAAUCAGUAAAAGUACAUGCUGCUAGUCUUCUCUUCACUCUAGAGCUAAAUCUAAUUUAAUUUUAAAGAUGAAAGUACCCUAUGGAGAGUAUGCCUAGCCUAUACAUGCAGUAUACACAUUACGUACUGAGCUGUCUAUGCAAACACACCUACAUAUUUACAUAUAUACAUUUGAUGCAUUUGUAUCAUAUUUAAAAAAAUGUAUCAUGUCCAUUGCAAAAUAAAUUGCUAAACUGACCUGAGGCGAUGGGUUUAUGUUAUUCACUGAUCACUAAGCAGUUAGAUUUACAGCAGACAUAACAGAUUGAUCAGGUUGAAUUGGCAGGAAACAGGCUAAAGCACUCGGGUGGCAUUUGCCACUUCCGUUAUAUUCUCCUAAUUAGAGGAUUUUAACUAAGCCAUUUGCAGGAUGGUCAAUAAAGGCAUUCACAUCAGGACUUAUUCAAAAAUGAGAAGUGUAUUUGGAGCAUAGCAUGGUUGGUCAGAAUCUGGCAUGAUUUUUUUUUUCUUUUAAAAACAAAGAGACAAAUCGGGUUUGCUUGUUUGUUUAUGUUUUGACGCUGGGUAGACACUUGAUUUUCUUUUGAGAAUCCAGGAAAAUAACACACUCAUUUUUAUAGGCAGGUCAAGUUUACUUUCAAGAUAAAGAGAAAAGACCUACGUUUGAAGGCUGAGCUUGGCUGCCAAGGCACAAAACAAGAACUUGAGAAUUGGUUCUGCAGCUUUUGUUUUCUUUUUUUUUUUUUUUAGCAGAAAUUGUCAAUUACCCAUAAUUAAUAUUUACUGAGGACUCGAGGGGUUGCAUCAGGUCUGAAGGAAUGUCAAACACACCCACAAAAAGUUAUGUUAUUUCAAGUUAAAUAUAGAUUUGACUGCAGUGUUUUCCCACUAGGACCAUAUUUUUUCAUUCCUUUAGAAAUCUUGUUAUAUAUUUUUAAAGAAGGGUCGGCCAUAUAUUCUUUAACUUGUUUCUUUUUUUUUUAACUUCUCCCUGAGGCAAAAAGAAGCAGCGACGACAAAAAUAAAAGUUUUUAUGAUCCUGCUGAAUCAAGAUACUAAAACAUGAGUUAAAUGAAGAGGCGUGGUGGUUUUAAUGAAGAAAAAUAAAACAAUUUAAGCGUUGCCAGGUGGAAAAUGAGACAAUCUCUUUACAUGGAAUGUGUAGAAGGGGAGGAGGCUCAUGGAUGCUGGGAAGGCAGUUUCCAAUGUCAGGAAUUUUUUGCCAUGGUCUUUGAUCUGCAGUCCAAUUUUAGUCUUGGUCUAAAAGGGAAAAAAAAAUGAAGAGGAAAACUAUUACUUGCUUUAAUGAAAAAAGUCUCAGUGAACCAAGGCUAACUAUGGGAAAAACAAGCCAGGAAAAAGGGUGUUGAUUCACAAAAGCAAGCAAAUCUUAAAAACAAAAAUCAAAGCAAUACAAAAAUCCGCUCCCCCCACCCCCUGCUACAAACCAAUCCUUGAAUAGCUUCACCAUUAAAUACUUCAUGUGCUGUCCAUCCAAUGUCACAUGAUUUUGGCUUCAUCUGAGUGUCUUUUCAAUGAGUACGACCUUCUGUGUUUUGAAGGAGUAGCCAUUGGUUCCAUCUGCAACCUUUAUUAGUCCCUGACUUCAAUUUCUACAAUCAUGGAAGGAAUCCUCUGCUGCAUUCAAGAAUAUACUAUUUUUUUAACAUUCUGUGGAUCUUGGUUGAUAAAGAUUUUGUUCUGACAUAAAAGACGUGUUAGAACUGGAAAUAAAUCUUAGGUUUCUGAUUCCGGUGUAGGAAGUAGAUAAACAUUGCUACCAUAGCAAAUCCGGUAAGGGAAAGAGAUCACAUAUUUUUUAAACAUGCUAAGACUCAUAAUAAUUAAAAAUAGAAAGUAAAUGGGCUUUGGAUGCAGCUGUGUGAUAGAGCAGUUGCCUGACAUUCAUGAAGCCUUGGGUUCAAUCUCCACCAAAGCAAAAAAACAAAAAGGAAGCAAACAAUACAUUUUUUUAACAAUGAUUGUUACUUGAAAGUAUAUACUUAGAUAAAUGACUAAUACUAUUAAAUAUUAUUUUAUUUGGAAUCUAAAGACAUACUUAGUUGCUUUGAUGACUAUUUUGCUUAUUUGAAUCAACAGAAUAGAUAUUGUGAUGCUAGUUUUAUCAAGGGAUGGAGUGGGGAGCUUUUUGUGUGUGAUCUUUGCAAUUUGUUUCUUUAAGACUUGUGGAGCUGGACGUCUCUGCUGCCAUCUUUUGUAAUCUUGUUGCUUUUUCACAUCACUGCAGUUAUCAUGACCCAGGAAGGCUGGAUGCUUGAGAAGAGGUUUGUUUCUCCCAUAUUCCAUUCACAAAUCCUCGUUUUCCCAUUUUACUAUUUAGCAUCAAAGUUUGUCUCUUGGCCUCCAGAGGAACAAUUUGGUAGGACCUAUGUCAUGAUGAGAAAUUCCUAUAGGUCUAAAGUGGUCCAUUUUUCUUGGUUUUAUCUGAGAGCUGGGUGUCGUGUCGUUUCUCCUUUCAGUUUACUGUAGAAAUAUGCUCAAGAGUCUACUCCUCAUCAGUUCUUCAGGUAUUAUUUUUCUGUUCUUUUCCAAAGAAAACUUCAAUUUCUACAAUUAAAAAUAAUAGCAAAUUUGCUGUUUGCAAAUUUCCUGACUCUGCGUAUGAAAAUUCUAUUAUACCCAUUUGUAUAGAAAAGGUUCCCACCUUACCCACGCUCGGAUCUAUACUGCCAUCAAAGUAGAAAACCUUCCUCUAACACAGUUACACGGUUUGCAGUCUCUUUUUUCAUGUUAUUUUUGAGGUUGUAGUUGUUUAUCUUCAGGCAGAUUCCAGAGUCCGCUCUCACUUCUCUGAAUACUCAUAGGUUCACUCUAAACAACAUAAUGUCAUUUUCCCUGAACGUCAAUAAAUCUGAUAUAUUUUGACUAUUUAUCUCACAGGCAAUAAAGAUCCUUUGACAAAGUGCAUUUCAUGAAUUAGCUCAAAUUACAUUUGGGCUCCUUUAGAGCUUCAGAGAAAGGUGCCAAACAUUUGAUACAACACGACAUUCUAUUUAACUUCAGGGGAGAACAGAACUUCUGAUUCUCUCAUUAAAAGAAAAGAUAAAAAAGUCUGUUUUGUUAAAAAAAAAAUCUUCAGGCCAUUUAUUUUAAUUUAUCCGUCACUUUUAUUAAAGCAUUUCAAGGUGAUGUAUGUUUCCUGAAGUUUAGGUAUGAAUCAAAAUGAGUCAAUAUGUCUAAAAUGCACAUACUUCAUUUUUUGAGAUCAUUUAUUGUCCACUAUUGAUUAUGAAGUAUUAAAAUGAACAUGAAAAAUCAUGAAAUACUGCUAUAAGCCUUGGCUGCAGCACAUUUUACCUUAAUUCCUUUUAUCUGUCUUCUUUUCCACUUACUAGAUGUUUUCUGCCUCCCACAAAACAUUUUAGCUCAUAGUAAGGAUAAGUAAAUUACCUGCCAGUUGGAAAAAUUAAAACUUGAUCUCAUUAUGAUUUCAGUACAGAAGAGUUGUUAGUCAGCUUCAAUUACUGUAAUAAAAUACCUACGCUGAUCAACUUGUAAAGAUGAAAGGUUUAUUUUUGGCUCAGUUUGGGAAGUUGCGGUCCAUGCUUCUUUUGGACCUGUGAUGGAAUAUCAUGGAAGACCAAAGUUGCUUAUGUCCUGGCUAGGAUCUGAAGAAAGAGGAAGAUCAUGCCCCAAAUGCUGAAGACCCCUGACUAUCACAACCUUUUAAAGGUUCCUCCACCACCUCACAAUGCCAGUCUGGUGACUAAGGCUUUAAAACAUGGGCCUUUGGAUGAUGUUGCAGACCAAAGUAUAGCAAGGGCUUAAUAGCUUCUCCCACCCAGCUUUUCCUGUAUCUGACUGUUAAGGUUUGGUUAUAAGAAGUUCUCUUACGAGUAAAGCUCUGAAUAUGGGGGAGGUAUGCAUUGUUCAGCCAAUUUAUUGAGUUUUCUUGUGUGUAUUUUUCCUAAUAACUAGAGCCCUCGAACCAAAACAUUAGCCAAUGGCAUUUCUUGGGAAAGAGGAAUUCAAAAAUGUGUUCUCUUGUGAUGUUUGUCUGCACUCUUUAGAGUUCACAGGACUUUUAUAAUCAGUACUUUCCUUCUUCUGUCAUCAUGAUCCUCAAAUAUAUUGACAGUAAUGGACUAGCAAACUUGUAUAUGAGUCAGCCUGUUCUUCUAAACUUUGCAAAAAAGUAAGCAUAAAAAUCUUGACUGGUUUUAUUACAGUUUACUCAAAUGGCAUGCUGUUUUUCUUUUCCUCAAGAAGCUAAUAAAAAUUUGUUGGGCAUCUA